rnacentral:ncRNA from 2 species
CUCUUAUCGAGAAAGGUUGAGGGAACAGGCCCUAUGAAACCUUAGCAACCAUCACGCUUGCCGUGAAUUUUGGUGCUACUUCCUGCCCGAUCCGGUUUUACCGCGAUUAGGGGAAAGAUGAGAA